UCGGGAAUAUUGCGCAAUGGAGGAAACUCUGACGCAGUGACGCCGCGUAUAGGAAGAAGGUUUUCGGAUUGUAAACUAUUGUCCACAGGGAAGAUGCAAAGACUGUACCUGUGAAGAAAGCUCCGGCUAACUACGUGCCAGCAGCCGCGGUAAUACGUAGGGAGCAAGCGUUAUCCGGAAUUAUUGGGUGUAAAGGGUGCGUAGACGGGAAAACAAGUUGGUUGUGAAACCCCUCGGCUCAACUGAGGAACUGCAACCAAAACUAUUAUUCUUGAGUGCAGGAGAGGAAAGUGGAAUUCCUAGUGUAGCGGUGAAAUGCGUAGAUAUUAGGAAGAACACCGGUGGCGAAGGCGACUUUCUGGACUGUAACUGACGUUGAGGCACGAAAGUGUGGGGAGCAAACAGG
rnacentral:rRNA from 1 species